AUUGAACGCUGGCGGCAGGCCUAACACAUGCAAGUCGAACGGUAGCACAGAGAGCUUGCUCUCGGGUGACGAGUGGCGGACGGGUGAGUAAUGUCUGGGAAACUGCCUGAUGGAGGGGGAUAACUACUGGAAACGGUAGCUAAUACCGCAUAACGUCGCAAGACCAAAGAGGGGGACCUUCGGGCCUCUUGCCAUCAGAUGUGCCCAGAUGGGAUUAGCUAGUAGGUGGGGUAAUGGCUCACCUAGGCGACGAUCCCUAGCUGGUCUGAGAGGAUGACCAGCCACACUGGAACUGAGACACGGUCCAGACUCCUACGGGAGGCAGCAGUGGGGAAUAUUGCACAAUGGGCGCAAGCCUGAUGCAGCCAUGCCGCGUGUAUGAAGAAGGCCUUCGGGUUGUAAAGUACUUUCAGCGGGGAGGAAGGCGAUAAGGUUAAUAACCUUGUCGAUUGACGUUACCCGCAGAAGAAGCACCGGCUAACUCCGUGCCAGCAGCCGCGGUAAUACGGAGGGUGCAAGCGUUAAUCGGAAUUACUGGGCGUAAAGCGCACGCAGGCGGUCUGUCAAGUCGGAUGUGAAAUCCCCGGGCUCAACCUGGGAACUGCAUUCGAAACUGGCAGGCUAGAGUCUUGCAGAGGGGGGUAGAAUUCCAGGUGUAGCGGUGAAAUGCGUAGAGAUCUGGAGGAAUACCGGUGGCGAAGGCGGCCCCCUGGACAAAGACUGACGCUCAGGUGCGAAAGCGUGGGGGAGCAAACAGGAUUAGAUACCCUGGUAGUCCACGCCGUAAACGAUGUCGACUUGGAGGUUGUGCCCUUGAGGCGUGGCUUCCGGAGCUAACGCGUUAAGUCGACCGCCUGGGGAGUACGGCCGCAAGGUUAAAACUCAAAUGAAUUGACGGGGGCCCGCACAAGCGGUGGAGCAUGUGGUUUAAUUCGAUGCAACGCGAAGAACCUUACCUACUCUUGACAUCCAGAGAACUUUCCAGAGAUGGAUUGGUGCCUUCGGGAACUCUGAGACAGGUGCUGCAUGGCUGUCGUCAGCUCGUGUUGUGAAAUGUUGGGUUAAGUCCCGCAACGAGCGCAACCCUUAUCCUUUGUUGCCAGCGGUCCGGCCGGGAACUCAAAGGAGACUGCCAGUGAUAAACUGGAGGAAGGUGGGGAUGACGUCAAGUCAUCAUGGCCCUUACGAGUAGGGCUACACACGUGCUACAAUGGCGCAUACAAAGAGAAGCGACCUCGCGAGAGCAAGCGGACCUCAUAAAGUGCGUCGUAGUCCGGAUUGGAGUCUGCAACUCGACUCCAUGAAGUCGGAAUCGCUAGUAAUCGUAGAUCAGAAUGCUACGGUGAAUACGUUCCCGGGCCUUGUACACACCGCCCGUCACACCAUGGGAGUGGGUUGCAAAAGAAGUAGGUAGCUUAACCUUCGGGAGGGCGCUUACCACUUUGUGAUUCAUGACUGGGGUG
rnacentral:rRNA from 1 species